rnacentral:rRNA from 1 species
GAUGAACGCUAGCUACAGGCUUAACACAUGCAAGUCGAGGGGAAACGCUGAGAGAGCUUGCUCUCUUAGUCGUCGACCGGCGCACGGGUGAGUAACGCGUAUCCAACCUGCCUCUGACCAAGGGAUAACCCGUCGAAAGUCGGACUAAUACCUUAUGCAGUCGUCGGAAGUCAUCUGAUGACGACGAAAGAUUUCAUCGGUGAGAGAUGGGGAUGCGUCUGAUUAGCUUGUUGGCGGGGUAACGGCCCACCAAGGCGACGAUCAGUAGGGGUUCUGAGAGGAAGGUCCCCCACAUUGGAACUGAGACACGGUCCAAACUCCUACGGGAGGCAGCAGUGAGGAAUAGUGGUCAAUGGGCGUAAGCCUGAACCAGCCAAGUAGCGUGCAGGAUGACGGCCCUAUGGGUUGUAAACUGCUUUUAUGCGGGGAUAAAGUGAGGGACGUGUCCUUCAUUGCAGGUACCGCAUGAAUAAGAACCGGCUAAUUCCGUG